rnacentral:rRNA from 1 species
ACUAAGCGUACACGGUGGAUGCCCUGGCAGUCAGAGGCGAUGAAGGACGUGCUAAUCUGCGAUAAGCGUCGGUAAGGUGAUAUGAACCGUUAUAACCGGCGAUUUCCGAAUGGGGAAACCCAGUGUGAUUCGUCACACUAUCAUUAACUGAAUCCAUAGGUUAAUGAGGCGAACCGGGGGAACUGAAACAUCUAAGUACCCCGAGGAAAAGAAAUCAACCGAGAUUCCCCCAGUAGCGGCGAGCGAACGGGGAGGAGCCCAGAGCCUGAAUCAGUGUGUGUGUUAGUGGAAGCGUCUGGAAAGGCGCGCGAUACAGGGUGACAGCCCCGUACACAAAAAUGCACAUGCUGUGAGCUCGAUGAGUAGGGCGGGACACGUGGUAUCCUGUCUGAAUAUGGGGGGACCAUCCUCCAAGGCUAAAUACUCCUGACUGACCGAUAGUGAACCAGUACCGUGAGGGAAAGGCGAAAAGAACCCCGGCGAGGGGAGUGAAAAAGAACCUGAAACCGUGUACGUACAAGCAGUGGGAGCCUCUUUAUGGGGUGACUGCGUACCUUUUGUAUAAUGGGUCAGCGACUUAUAUUCUGUAGCAAGGUUAACCGAAUAGGGGAGCCGAAGGGAAACCGAGUCUUAACUGGGCGUUAAGUUGCAGGGUAUAGACCCGAAACCCGGUGAUCUAGCCAUGGGCAGGUUGAAGGUUGGGUAACACUAACUGGAGGACCGAACCGACUAAUGUUGAAAAAUUAGCGGAUGACUUGUGGCUGGGGGUGAAAGGCCAAUCAAACCGGGAGAUAGCUGGUUCUCCCCGAAAGCUAUUUAGGUAGCGCCUCGUGAAUUCAUCUCCGGGGGUAGAGCACUGUUUCGGCAAGGGGGUCAUCCCGACUUACCAACCCGAUGCAAACUGCGAAUACCGGAGAAUGUUAUCACGGGAGACACACGGCGGGUGCUAACGUCCGUCGUGAAGAGGGAAACAACCCAGACCGCCAGCUAAGGUCCCAAAGUCAUGGUUAAGUGGGAAACGAUGUGGGAAGGCCCAGACAGCCAGGAUGUUGGCUUAGAAGCAGCCAUCAUUUAAAGAAAGCGUAAUAGCUCACUGGUCGAGUCGGCCUGCGCGGAAGAUGUAACGGGGCUAAACCAUGCACCGAAGCUGCGGCAGCGACGCUUAUGCGUUGUUGGGUAGGGGAGCGUUCUGUAAGCCUGCGAAGGUGUACUGUGAGGUAUGCUGGAGGUAUCAGAAGUGCGAAUGCUGACAUAAGUAACGAUAAAGCGGGUGAAAAGCCCGCUCGCCGGAAGACCAAGGGUUCCUGUCCAACGUUAAUCGGGGCAGGGUGAGUCGACCCCUAAGGCGAGGCCGAAAGGCGUAGUCGAUGGGAAACAGGUUAAUAUUCCUGUACUUGGUGUUACUGCGAAGGGGGGACGGAGAAGGCUAUGUUGGCCGGGCGACGGUUGUCCCGGUUUAAGCGUGUAGGCUGGUUUUCCAGGCAAAUCCGGAAAAUCAAGGCUGAGGCGUGAUGACGAGGCACUACGGUGCUGAAGCAACAAAUGCCCUGCUUCCAGGAAAAGCCUCUAAGCAUCAGGUAACAUCAAAUCGUACCCCAAACCGACACAGGUGGUCAGGUAGAGAAUACCAAGGCGCUUGAGAGAACUCGGGUGAAGGAACUAGGCAAAAUGGUGCCGUAACUUCGGGAGAAGGCACGCUGAUACGUAGGUGAAGUCCCUUGCGGAUGGAGCUGAAAUCAGUCGAAGAUACCAGCUGGCUGCAACUGUUUAUUAAAAACACAGCACUGUGCAAACACGAAAGUGGACGUAUACGGUGUGACGCCUGCCCGGUGCCGGAAGGUUAAUUGAUGGGGUUAGCGGUAACGCGAAGCUCUUGAUCGAAGCCCCGGUAAACGGCGGCCGUAACUAUAACGGUCCUAAGGUAGCGAAAUUCCUUGUCGGGUAAGUUCCGACCUGCACGAAUGGCGUAAUGAUGGCCAGGCUGUCUCCACCCGAGACUCAGUGAAAUUGAACUCGCUGUGAAGAUGCAGUGUACCCGCGGCAAGACGGAAAGACCCCGUGAACCUUUACUAUAGCUUGACACUGAACAUUGAGCCUUGAUGUGUAGGAUAGGUGGGAGGCUUUGAAGUGUGGACGCCAGUCUGCAUGGAGCCGACCUUGAAAUACCACCCUUUAAUGUUUGAUGUUCUAACGUUGGCCCCUAAUCGGGGUUGCGGACAGUGUCUGGUGGGUAGUUUGACUGGGGCGGUCUCCUCCUAAAGAGUAACGGAGGAGCACGAAGGUUGGCUAAUCCUGGUCGGACAUCAGGAGGUUAGUGCAAUGGCAUAAGCCAGCUUGACUGCGAGCGUGACGGCGCGAGCAGGUGCGAAAGCAGGUCAUAGUGAUCCGGUGGUUCUGAAUGGAAGGGCCAUCGCUCAACGGAUAAAAGGUACUCCGGGGAUAACAGGCUGAUACCGCCCAAGAGUUCAUAUCGACGGCGGUGUUUGGCACCUCGAUGUCGGCUCAUCACAUCCUGGGGCUGAAGUAGGUCCCAAGGGUAUGGCUGUUCGCCAUUUAAAGUGGUACGCGAGCUGGGUUUAGAACGUCGUGAGACAGUUCGGUCCCUAUCUGCCGUGGGCGCUGGAGAACUGAGGGGGGCUGCUCCUAGUACGAGAGGACCGGAGUGGACGCAUCACUGGUGUUCGGGUUGUCAUGCCAAUGGCACUGCCCGGUAGCUAAAUGCGGAAGAGAUAAGUGCUGAAAGCAUCUAAGCACGAAACUUGCCCCGAGAUGAGUUCUCCCUGACUCCUUGAGAGUCCUGAAGGAACGUUGAAGACGACGACGUUGAUAGGCCGGGUGUGUAAGCGCAGCGAUGCGUUGAGCUAACCGGUACUAAUGAACCGUGAGGCUUAACC